UGGUGGGAAGGUAUGUCAUAGGAGCCCAACCUCAUCUCUGCCAAGGGUAAGAUGGCACUUUGCAGAUGUCACUGGCUGGACGGCAGCCCAAGCAAGGGGCAGUGACCCCUGGAGGAUCCCUCUGCUCCUAAAGGAGUUCUUCCAUAGGUACAAUGGGACAGGAAUGAAGGAUCCUGCAGGACAUUUGACAUUUUGCUUGACGUUUGGACUUGCACUGUCAGUGGGAUUUUAGUUUGUAAACUAAACUUUAUACACUGUUGGAUUAAGCAGGCAUUUAAAACCACCAUGACCUUUGGGUACUCCCAAGUUUUUUUAUGGCUUCUACUCCUGCCAUGCUAUUGAAAUUCUUCCUCCCAAAAUGAGGGACCACCUCCACCUUUUGAAUACACUCUUUUGCCUGCCUGU